GACAGAGGGGGCAAGCGUUGCUCGGAAUCACUGGGCGUAAAGGGCGCGUAGGCGGGAUGGCAAGUCGGUCGUGAAAUCCUUCGGCUCAACCGAAGAACGUCGGCCGAUACUGCCGUUCUUGAGGGAUGCAGAGGAGAUUGGAAUUCCCGGUGUAGCGGUGAAAUGUGUAGAGAUCGGGAGGAACGACCGGGUGGCGAAGGCGGGUCUCUGGGCAUCUCCGUGACGGCCUGAGGAGCGAAAGUGGUGGGGAGCGGAACAGG
rnacentral:rRNA from 1 species